rnacentral:tRNA from 1 species
CCGGGUGUGGCCCAGCUGGUAGGGCGCCUGGUUUGGGACCAGGAUGCCGCGAGUUCGAAUCUCGCCACUCGGACCA